rnacentral:rRNA from 1 species
GACGAACGCUGGCGGCGUGCUUAACACAUGCAAGUCGAACGGAAAGGCCCUUCGGGGUACUCGAGUGGCGAACGGGUGAGUAACACGUGGGUGAUCUGCCCUGCACUUUGGGAUAAGCCUGGGAAACUGGGUCUAAUACCGAAUAUGAUCAUCAGCUUCAUGGUUUGUGGUGGAAAGCUUUUGUGGUGUGGGAUGGGCCCGCGGCCUAUCAGCUUGGUGGUGGGGUAAUGGCCUACCAAGGCGACGACGGGUAGCCGGCCUGAGAGGGUGACCGGCCACACUGGGACUGAGAUACGGCCCAGACUCCUACGGGAGGCAGCAGUGGGGAAUGUUGCACGAUGGGCGCAAGCCUGAUGCAGCGACGCCGCGUGAGGGAUGACGGCCUUCGGGUUGUAAACCUCUUUCAGCACAGACGAAGCGCAAGUGACGGUAUGUGCAGAAGAAGGACCGGCCAACUACGUGCCAGCAGCCGCAGUAA